rnacentral:rRNA from 1 species
GAGUAAUGCAUGGGUAACGUGCCUUGGGUACAGGGAUAGCGGCGCCCGCAAGGGCUUUAGCGAAAGUGCCGGUAAUACCUGAUGACAUCCACGGGGCGCAUGUCCUGUGGAUCAAAGACGGGGACCUUCGGGCCUGUUGACCUGAGAUCGACCCAUGUCCUAUCAGCUUGUUGGUGGGGUAACGGCCUACCAAGGCAACGACGGGUAGCCGGCUGUGAGAGCGCGACCGGCCACAUCGGGACUGAGACACUGCCCGGACACCUACGGGUGGCUGCAGCAACGAAUAUUCCGCAAUGGGCGCAAGCCUGACGGAGCGACGCCGCGUUAAGGAUGAAGUCCUUCGGGAUGUAAACUUGUAUAGUUUGUCAGAAAGCGAACCGGGCUAAUAACCCCCGGCGAGUUGAUCGGCAAACGAAAGGGUGGCUAACUCCGUGCCAGCAGCCGCGGUAAGACGGAGACCCCUAGCGUUGUUCGGAAUUACUGGGCUUAAAGGGCGUGUAGGCGGAGCGGUAAGUACCUUGUGAAAGCCCUGGGGCUCAACCGGGGAAUUGCUUGAUGUACUGCUUUUCUUGAGGCAGGCAGGGGUGCAUAGAACUCUUGGUGGAGCGGUGGAAUGCGUAGAUAUCAAGAGGAAUGCCGGCGGUGAAGACGGUGCACUGGGCCUGCCCUGACGCUGAUACACGAAAGCGUGGGGAGCGAACGGGAUUAGAUACCCCGGUAGUCCACGCCCUAAACUAUGUCUACUAGGUUGAGGCGGUUCUGACACCGUCUUGGCCGUAAGCUAAAGUGUUAAGUAGACCGCCUGGGGAGUACGGUCGCAAGGCUAAAACUCAAAGGAAUUGACGGGGGCUCACACAAGCGGUGGAGCAUGUGGAUCAAUUCGAAGCAACGCGCAGAACCUUACCUGGGUUUGACAUGCUUGGAUGCCUUUCCCGAAAGGGAGUAGGCUGCCCGCAAGGGUGAAACUGCACAGGUGCUGCAUGGCUGUCGUCAGCUCGUGUCGUGAGAUGUUGGGUUAAGUCCCGCAACGAGCGCAACCCUUACCCCUUGUUGCUACCAGGUCAUGCUGAGCACUCUAGGGGGACUGCCGGUAAUAAACCGGAGGAAGGUGAGGAUGACGUCAAAUCAUCACGGCCUUUAUGUCCAGGGCUACACACGUGAUACAUGGUCGGUACAAAGAGCUGCGAGACCGCGAGGUGGAGCUAAUCUCAAAAACCGGCCUCAGUUCGGAUUGUAGUAA